rnacentral:rRNA from 1 species
GUCGAGCGAACAGACGAGGAGCUUGCUCCUCUGACGUUAGCGGCGGACGGGUGAGUAACACGUGGAUAACCUACCUAUAAGACUGGGAUAACUUCGGGAAACCGGAGCUAAUACCGGAUAAUAUAUUGAACCGCAUGGUUCAAUAGUGAAAGACGGUUUUGCUGUCACUUAUAGAUGGAUCCGCGCCGCAUUAGCUAGUUGGUAAGGUAACGGCUUACCAAGGCAACGAUGCGUAGCCGACCUGAGAGGGUGAUCGGCCACACUGGAACUGAGACACGGUCCAGACUCCUACGGGAGGCAGCAGUAGGGAAUCUUCCGCAAUGGGCGAAAGCCUGACGGAGCAACGCCGCGUGAGUGAUGAAGGUCUUCGGAUCGUAAAACUCUGUUAUUAGGGAAGAACAAAUGUGUAAGUAACUAUGCACGUCUUGACGGUACCUAAUCAGAAAGCCACGGCUAACUACGUGCCAGCAGCCGCGGUAAUACGUAGGUGGCAAGCGUUAUCCGGAAUUAUUGGGCGUAAAGCGCGCGUAGGCGGUUUUUUAAGUCUGAUGUGAAAGCCCACGGCUCAACCGUGGAGGGUCAUUGGAAACUGGAAAACUUGAGUGCAGAAGAGGAAAGUGGAAUUCCAUGUGUAGCGGUGAAAUGCGCAGAGAUAUGGAGGAACACCAGUGGCGAAGGCGACUUUCUGGUCUGUAACUGACGCUGAUGUGCGAAAGCGUGGGGAUCAAACAGGAUUAGAUACCCUGGUAGUCCACGCCGUA